rnacentral:rRNA from 1 species
ACGAACGCUGGCGGCGUGCCUAACACAUGCAAGUCGCGCGAGAAAAGGGGGGCAACUCCCUGAGUAAAGCGGCGCACGGGUGAGUAACGCGUAGGUGACCUACCCUUGAGUCCAGGAUAACCUACCGAAAGGUGGGCUAAUACCGGAUAUGACCACGGGGAUCUCGGUCCCCGAGGUGAAAGGUGGCCUCUGUUUACAUGCUACCGCUCAUCGAUGGGCCUGCGCGCCAUUAGCUAGUUGGUGGGGUAAUGGCCCACCAAGGCGAUGAUGGCUAGCUGGUCUGAGAGGAUGGCCAGCCACACUGGGACUGAAACACGGCCCAGACUCCUACGGGAGGCAGCAGUGGGGGAUAUUGCGCAAUGGGCGAAAGCCUGACGCAGCGACGCCGCGUGGGUGAUGAAGGCCUUCGGGUCGUAAAGCCCUGUCGAGGGGAAAGAAACGGUUUCGACCC